CGUAGGUGGCAAGCGUUGUCCGGAUUUAUUGGGUUUAAAGGGUGCGUAGGCGGUCUAUUAAGUCAGUGCUGAAAUACUCCAGCUUAACUGGAGGGGUGGCAUUGAUACUGAUGGACUUGAGUACAGAUGAGGUAGGCGGAAUUGACGGUGUAGCGGUGAAAUGCAUAGAUAUCGUCAAGAACACCGAUAGCGAAGGCAGCUUACUGGGCUGUAACUGACGCUGAUGCACGAAAGUGUGGGGAUCAAACAGGAUUAGAUACCCUGGUAGUCCACACUGUAAACGUUGAUUACUCGCUGUUUGCGAUACACGGCAAGCGGCUUAGCGAAAGCGAUAAGUAAUCCACCUGGGGAGUACGCCGGCAACGGUG
rnacentral:rRNA from 1 species